AAUCAAGCGGAUGGAAUAAUCUACUUUAGAAUAGAUUAUUUCAUUCCAAUGUUUAAAACAUCAAACUGAAACUAAUUUUUAAUUAUAACUUUUUUUUUUCUAUGUUUAUUUAGUGAAGAUAACGGUCAUUUAAAAGUUGUUUACAAAUUUCAUAUAUUAUCACGCCAUCUUACAUUGAGUGAUUUACUAAGAGGAGGAGGAAGAUGGUAGUUUAGACAAAAGUUUAGUGAUUUACUUGAGGGGAGGUGAUAAUUUAGACAGUUAUACGGACGCUUCUAACAGUUAUAAACCGAAAUCUUUAUCUCGUUUUGAGUUUUACGCAAUAGAAUGGAAUAAACUACCAGAAACCACUGCAAAAAGAAAUUCAGAGCGAAAUUGUUGAAAUUGAAAAGCCCAAACCAGUUUAAGGAUUUGCUGAGAAAAAUUUAAAACUUUUACAUUUUUUAGAUUUUUUUUAAUUUAAAAAAAAAUCAGGUUGUUCUUC